GAUGAACGCUGGCGGCGUGCCUAAUACAUGCAAGUCGAGCGAACGGACGAGAAGCUUGCUUCUCUGAUGUUAGCGGCGGACGGGUGAGUAACACGUGGAUAACCUACCUAUAAGACUGGGAUAACUUCGGGAAACCGGAGCUAAUACCGGAUAAUAUUUUGAACCGCAUGGUUCAAAAGUGAAAGACGGUCUUGCUGUCACUUAUAGAUGGAUCCGCGCUGCAUUAGCUAGUUGGUAAGGUAACGGCUUACCAAGGCAACGAUGCAUAGCCGACCUGAGAGGGUGAUCGGCCACCUGGGAACUGAGACACGGUCCAGACUACUACGGGAGGCAGCAGUAGGGAAUCUUCCGCAAUGGGCGAAAGCCUGACGGAGCAACGCCGCGUGAGUGAUGAAGGUCUUCGGAUCGUAAAACUCUGUUAUUAGGGAAGAACAUAUGUGUAAGUAACUGUGCACAUCUUGACGGUACCUAAUCAGAAAGCCACGGCUAACUACGUG
rnacentral:rRNA from 1 species